AACCACAUCCAGGACGAUGGUAGAGCAGGCUGGUCCCCUGUCAGGUCUGUGUGGCAUUGUGAUGAUGUCUACAGAACAUCUGGGUUCGGCAUGGAGCAGUCUCUGCUUCGCCGAAAAAUCACAGAAGAAAGGUGGGAGGCUCACAGCCUACAAGAACAACAGGAAGAGCCAGACCUCACUAAUCGGGAAUUUGCAAUAACAUUGACACUGCCUUGAUCCCAAUGAGUAAAAGUUAAAAACUUCUCA